UAGCUCAGUAGGAUAGAGCAACCGCCUCCUAAGCGGUAGGUCGCUGGUUCAAUUCCN
rnacentral:tRNA from 1 species